CAGUAUGGCGGCUCGGAGCCAGAGGGGCUGAAGGACUGGUCUUGCGGGGAAUCCGCGUCCAUCCUUCACGGGAGCUGCGGGAACGGUGCUGCCUGUCUCGCUACUGUCGAGCGGCGGGACCCCAGCCGCGAUGGUGUCAGGAGCCGCAGGGCUGUGAGGCAGCAGAGUGCGAGCCGGUAGGGCGGGCAGAGCAACAGAACCGGGUCGCGGACCAACCGAGCUGCCGCCAUGGAGCUGAGGGUUGGGAACCGGUACCGGCUGGGCCGGAAGAUCGGGAGCGGCUCCUUCGGGGACAUCUACCUGGGAACCGAUAUUGCUGCCGGAGAGGAGGUUGCAAUUAAGUUGGAAUGUGUGAAAACCAAACAUCCUCAGCUUCACAUCGAGAGUAAAAUCUACAAAAUGAUGCAGGGUGGAGUGGGUAUUCCCACAAUUAAGUGGUGUGGAGCUGAAGGAGACUACAACGUCAUGGUGAUGGAGCUGUUGGGACCGAGUCUUGAAGAUCUCUUCAAUUUUUGUUCAAGGAAAUUUAGUCUCAAGACAGUCCUAUUACUCGCUGACCAAAUGAUUAGUCGAAUUGAAUAUAUUCACUCUAAGAACUUCAUCCACCGAGAUGUGAAGCCAGAUAACUUCUUAAUGGGCCUGGGGAAAAAAGGCAAUCUUGUCUACAUAAUAGACUUUGGAUUAGCAAAGAAGUAUCGAGAUGCUCGAACUCACCAACAUAUUCCAUACCGUGAAAAUAAAAACUUAACGGGAACUGCCCGUUACGCAUCCAUCAACACUCAUCUUGGAAUUGAGCAAUCUCGCAGAGAUGACUUGGAGUCCUUGGGCUAUGUACUGAUGUAUUUUAACCUGGGCUCCCUCCCCUGGCAGGGAUUGAAAGCAGCAACAAAGAGGCAGAAAUACGAACGUAUCAGUGAAAAGAAAAUGUCUACACCCAUUGAGGUUUUGUGUAAAGGAUAUCCUUCCGAAUUUGCCACCUACUUGAAUUUCUGCCGUUCUUUGCGUUUUGAUGACAAACCAGACUAUUCCUAUCUAAGGCAAUUAUUCAGAAACCUCUUCCACCGGCAGGGGUUCUCCUAUGACUAUGUGUUUGACUGGAACAUGCUGAAAUUUGGCGCAAGCAGAGCAGCUGAAGAUGCUGAACGUGAAAGACGAGAACGAGAGGAGAGAUUGAGACAUACACGAAAUCCAGCUGUGCGUGGAUUACCCUCCACUGCUUCUGGCAGGCUGAGAGGAACGCAAGAUGUAGCUCCUCCUACUCCUCUUACGCCAACUUCACAUGCUGCCAACACCUCUCCACGGCCAGUAUCUGGUAUGGAACGAGAAAGGAAAGUGAGUAUGAGAUUGCAUCGUGGUGCCCCAGUCAAUAUCUCGUCGUCUGACUUAACAGGCCGACAAGAUACCUCUCGCAUGUCAACUUCGCAGAAUAGCAUUCCUUUCGAACACCAUGGCAAGUAGCUGCUCGUCUCCUUUCGUUGGAAGGCAGCACUGGGUGACUUUUCCAUGUUAACUUCUAAUAAAGGAGGAAAAUACAGGGAACUUCGAGUAGCUACAGAUUCCUGCUCGGGUAACUACCAGUGUUCUCCAGUCUGCUGUGCACCGAUGAAAAUUAUUUUGCCAUGGAGGGCAGAUAAUGCAUGGCUGAUCUCCUGUGUUACCAAUGGCUUUACUAGCAAAAAUACCCUAAACUAGAGUGGAGACAUUAUAAUUGGAGUUCUCCAUGUGACUUAAAAGGCAUUUGGAGGAACAUAGACGGACUCCAGCAGCUGCCAUUACAGGACGCUUUUGCCAGAAACCCAAUGACCUUAAGAGAACCCUGUGGUAACAGGGCUGGAAAAGAAAGAUGGUUUACAGAGUUGACCGCCUGUUAUCGGAUGGCCAUUUCAGUUUUUCCCCCACAGGCGGCAGACCUUACCCCCUUUUUAUUAUUCUACUGUAACUAUAAAUCUUUUACUUGGUUUAAGGAAGUUUUUUGUAUCAUUUUGCUAAAAUUAUUGGGUUAAUUCUCUGUAAAGAACUUUUGCUUUUGUCUGAUUUAAAAAUGUAGAAUAUAAACAAACCUAAAGACAAUGACUUGAAAUUUCUUGUUUAAAAAAAAAUCAGUCUGGCAGGGAACAUGUAAAUGAAUCAGAACCAUCUGACUUUAUUUAAACUGUUUACUCAUUUGUAUGGUCCCAUUCUGACUGAGAAGGUUAUCCCAUGACAUUUUUAAAACUAUCGAGUUUUACUUUGCUGUUUGCUGUCUUCAUUCACACUUAAAUGUUAACUCUCCAUGUAACACAAAGAAAUUUUUAAUACUCAUUCUUUUCCAUAGAAGAGGAGAGUCUAAGUAUAGUAGAGAUGGUGAUAAUGGAUUUCUUUUUUUGUAAAGAAUAUGAAGGACAAAGUGAAAGAUUCUGGCAUUUGAGGGCUUUAGAAUUUGAAGGUUUGUCCUAUAUCUCUGCUUAGUUUGCAUAAAUGGUUAAUUUCAAGCAUUUGUUUUAUUUGUAAAACUUUAUUUCCUGCACUCUGAGGCUGGUUAGCUUGGAGGGUAUUGCAAGUGGACAAUACAUGUUGCUACUGAGUCUUCAGUGAAUUUGCACGUUUCAUUCAGCAUCUACAUGUGUAAAAAUAAACAAGCCUUCUGUUUCAUGCCAAGACUCAUAAAAGGAAUUAUGAAAAAAAAAAAACACCAAAAAAACCCACAAAAAACUAAAACAACAACAAAACUAUUCUUAUGGAGAAAUCCUGAGCUUUUUUUUUUUUUAUGUAAUUCAGGUGCAUACCAUCUUUAAUUCUUAACUGUAUUCGACCUGAGUAUGCCCAGUAUCAUUAGCUAGGAACGAAUGACUCAACAAUGUGCUUAGGUUGUCCAAAAAGCUUGCAGGUGCUUUUAGCACCUGUUGGGUAUUGAAUAUGGGAGAUACUUAAUAUUGUUUGUUACUGUAAAUGGUCCAAUAAAAGUAGGUAUUCUGUCCUCACAGUACUUGGAACAGUAUCAGAAUAGUAUGACUGAAGUGAUGGGAAGUCCCACAUUGGAAGUGAAAGUAUAUGCAGAGGUUUUGUUUGAACAGUUAGGUAUUUUGACAAAUUCUUCCCUGCUUGAAAACAAUUUUUUUUGAAGGCCUGUUGGUCUUCAGAGUUCUAUGAAGAGUAACUUUUAUUAUUUUUGUGUUUACAGAUUCUUUUUUGCCCCUCUCAAAAGUCCACAUAUUACGUAUUAGUCACUCUUCUUUGGAUGUUUUCAGAACAUUAGCUACUUGCUUGUGUGUACUCUGGGUCUGACUGGGAAAACCUGUGUUUGGGGAGAGUAUAGUAAAAAAGCUUAAGAGUUCGAUCCAUGGAUAAGUUUGCAUAAGAGAAUUAUUUCCUUAGUUAAUAUAAACGUCAAUAUUUUAGGCAUGUGCACUACCAUUUGAACAGUUUUACACUUCACUGUGCUUUCCUUGUAAAUAUGUUAAUAAUGUACUGUCAGAGGGGCUUACAAAGGCAGCCUCUUUAUUCUCUCUGUAUCUGGAACAUUAGAUGGCUGUACUAUACUUAAAAGUUGACUGCAGACUUCUAGAAUUGUACUCACUUGUGGGCAGUUUUUGUCCUUCCUAAUAGUUAAAUUCCAUCAUGAGGAAAAUAUUUAGACUGUCUAUAUAAACCUGUGUAUUGGAAACCAGUAUCUCAGAGCACUUCAUUUGUAUUACCACUGUAUUUGUGUACUUCAACAAAUGUGUAAAUACAUUCAUAAUAACUUCAA